rnacentral:misc_RNA from 1 species
GUAGGUUUUAGGGAUAUUUGGGAAAGAAAGAAAUUAGGUGACAGGAGAAUUCAGAAUUCAAAUUGGAUUGAGAAUAAGCUUUCUGUUAAAAACGACUAUGGCGAACGAAGGGACGACUGUGGCGAUAAAGGGAACUGAGAUAAAAGCUAAGGUAAGGGUUUUCUUUCGGAACGAGAAGCUAACUCGGAAUCAGAUUUCAGAAUCGGAAGGGCUGUGCGUCAUUAUUAUUCGGAGGAGCUACAAGUGGCUUCAUGAGUGUCCACGUAUAGUUUGCUACCCUCAGGCCAGCCGUUGGUAUGAUACCUAUAGCUCUACCGUCAUCCCGUUUGAUCUGUCCAGGCUACUCAACAAGGAUCCAUCCUUGUUUUCCAUGAUUCUAUCUGCUACUCUUCAAUUUAAUCCCGAAGACAUCAUACAAAUAUCUAAUGAAAUUUCGCCUGUUUUCUAAACCACAACCACGACCUCCCUACGUGAUUGCCCUUGAAAUCUCCCAAUUUGAUAUCGUCGGUUUUUCAUCGUAUUAUUCUGUUCCACCUUUUCCCCCUAUCCCCGCUUUCUCUAGGUUUGUCAAGGACUGGGAUGAUGAAGAGGAGCUUCUCACUGCUGUUCGAAGUCUCUCUACCACUGAUUACAUCAAUGAUCCAUAUCACAAGUACUUGGGUGAUGUGCUCGAGUAUAUCCAUGCGUUAAGGGAAUAUACUGGUGAAGGUGGAAUUUGCCCAGCCAAACCACCCAUUGCAGAAGAUUUACCAAAAGGACUCAACGAAAUCGGCUGCUCUCCAUCUCCGACUCCCGUAUUCAAUGACUAUAGUAGAGAUUUGAUGGAUGACACUUGCCCUGUUUGCUAUGAAUAUUUCAAAGACGAGAAUGAGAGAAGACGAUGCACUACGAGAACAGGAGUGAAACAAUGAUAAAAGUCGAUGUCCAGAGGGAUCUCAUAGAGGGAGCUAGUGUGCCAGGCUGCCAUUUAAAGUUUCCAGAUUCCAUUGCUCUUCUUUCCUUCUCUCUGUGUCUCAAUGUCAUCUCAACCGGCUUAGUUCGAUUGUUGGUGCUAAAGCUGAGUGACAGUUUCGAGUAUUUGUUGUUCAAGUAACUUGAGUAUGGGAUGUCAGUUAGCAAGUGACUGUGUGCAAAAAAGUAAUGAAGAUGGUGGAACAUCUCAAAGAUGUGCUUGGGGAAAUUUUCAGCUUAAAAAAGGCAUCUCUAAUGUAGUCAUCGAAUAUGGACGUUCGAGAUGGAGAGGGGUAUGUGUUGCUUAAGUCGUAAAUCUGCAGCAAUACAAGAAGUCCCACAUUGGGUAAAAC